GCAGGGAUUGCUACUAAAGGUCAUACCCUCAACUGGAAGGUGAGCCUCCAUCUUUGGGUUCACUCUGUGCUAAAUUCUAAUUCUAUCUGAACUGACUCUAAUUAUUGAACUGAACUGGACUUACUGACAUGAUGCACUGACUGAACUAAUACUCUAAUAUAUUCAAAACCCUUCUGAAAGUAUUUAAACUAAGUAAACAAUGAAGUUUUUGGGUAUUCAUAACGCCAGGAC
rnacentral:lncRNA from 1 species